CUUCAAUUUGUACUUGAGUAUUUAGGAAUAAUUUAACUUAUAAGUUUUUUGUAUUCUAAUGUUACUUCUUGCGCAACGUGUUUUAAUAAUUUUCUAAAAAGUAUAUCAGCGUAAUUUGUUUAAAAUGGAUCAAGUUAGGGUAUUUGGCUGAGCAGUAGUAUGUCCUCUCAAAUGUUGCAACAUAAGAAGGCUUUGACACAGACGUAGAGGUGGGUUUUAUUUGCUUGUUUUGAGGAUGUUACCCCGACGGGAGUUUCUAGAAAUGAGCAUUAAAACAUUCGAAACGUCAAAUACCAGAGUAUUAUCUUUAUAAGGAUCAAUACAAUGUCCACUUCCUGACGAGAAUCUGAUUAUUUUCCGUAAACCUGAUGGCGAAUAUGAACAUUAAAGGGAGUAAACGUAAAGGCAGAGAAAACAAAAUAUCGUUUGAAAACCUUAAGUUAAAGGACGUUAUGUUUGAAGCGUUACAAGACAGGUAUACCGUUAGU